rnacentral:rRNA from 1 species
CCUACGGGUGGCAGCAGUGAGGAAUAUUGCUCAAUGGCGGCAAGCCUGACGCAGCCACGCCGCGUGAUUGAAGAAGGCCUUCGGGUUGUUAAGAUCUUUAAUCGGGGACGCAUUUUGACGGUACCCGAAGAAUAAGCUCCGGCUAACUACGUGACAGCAGCCGCGGUAAUACGUCGGGAGCAAGCGUUAUCCGGAUUUACUGGGUGUAAAGGGCGUGUAGGCGGGCAUGCAAGCGAGAAGUGAAAUCUUGGGGCUUAACCCCCAAAGUGCGUGUGGAACUGCGUGUCUUGAGUGAGUGAGAGGCAGGCGGAAUGCGCGGUGUAGCGGUGAAAUGCGUAGAUAUUGGGAGGAACGCCAGUGGCGAAGGCGGCCUGCUGGACAUUAACUGACGCUGAGGCGCGAAAGUGUGGGGAGCGAACAGGAUUAGAUACCCUAGUAGUC